UACGUAGGGUGCAAGCGUUAAUCGGAAUUACUGGGCGUAAAGCGUGCGCAGGCGGUUUUGUAAGUCUGUCGUGAAAUCCCCGGGCUCAACCUGGGAAUUGCGAUGGAGACUGCAAGGCUAGAAUCUGGCAGAGGGGGGUAGAAUUCCACGUGUAGCAGUGAAAUGCGUAGAGAUGUGGAGGAACACCGAUGGCGAAGGCAGCCCCCUGGGUCAAGAUUGACGCUACAUGCACGAAAGGCGUGGGGAGCCAAACGAGGAUUACGAAACC
rnacentral:rRNA from 1 species